GAGGAAAAGAAACCAACAGGGAUUGCCUUAGUAGCGGCGAGUGAAGCGGCAAAAGCUCAAAUUUGAAAUCUGGCGCCUUCGGUGUCCGAGUUGUAAUUUGAAGAUUGUAACCUUGGGGUUGGCUCUUGUCUAUGUUUCUUGGAACAGGACGUCACAGAGGGUGAGAAUCCCGUGCGAUGAGAUGCCCAAUUCUAUGUAAGGUGCUUUCGAAGAGUCGAGUUGUUUGGGAAUGCAGCUCUAAGUGGGUGGUAAAUUCCAUCUAAAGCUAAAUAUUGGCGAGAGACCGAUAGCGAACAAGUACAGUGAUGGAAAGAUGAAAAGAACUUUGAAAAGAGAGUGAAAAAGUACGUGAAAUUGUUGAAAGGGAAGGGUUUGAGAUCAGACUCGAUAUUUUGUGAGCCUUGCCUUCGUGGCGGGGUGACCCGCAGCUUAUCGGGCCAGCAUCGGUUUGGGCGGUAGGAUAAUGGCGUAGGAAUGUGACUUUACUUCGGUGAAGUGUUAUAGCCUGCGUUGAUGCUGCCUGCCUAGACCGAGGACUGCGAUUUUAUCAAGGAUGCUGGCAUAAUGAUCCCAAACCGCCCGUCUUGAA
rnacentral:rRNA from 1 species